ACUCCUACGGGAGGCAGCAGUGGGGAAUAUUGCACAAUGGGGGAAACCCUGAUGCAGCCAUGCCGCGUGUGUGAAGAAGGCCUUCGGGUUGUAAAGCACUUUCAGUAGGGAGGAAGGUAGUGUAGUUAACACCUGCAUUAUUUGUACGUUACCUACAGAAGAAGCACCGGCUAACUCCGUGCCAGCAGCCGCGGUAAGUACGGAGGGUGCGAGCGUUAAUCGGAAUUACUGGGCGUAAAGCGCAUGCAGGCGGCCUGUUAAGUCAGAUGUGAAAGCCCGGGGUCUUAACCUCGGAAUUGCAUUUGAAACUGGCAGGCUAGAGUCUUGUAGAGGGGGUUAGAAUUUCAGGUGUAGCGGUGAAAUGCGUAGAGAUCUGAAGGAAUACCAGUGGCGAAGG
rnacentral:rRNA from 1 species